rnacentral:rRNA from 1 species
UACGUAGGCAGCAAGCGUUGUUCGGAGUUACUGGGCGUAAAGGGUGUGUAGGCGGUUGCUUAAGUUUGGUGUGAAAUCUCCCGGCUCAACUGGGAGGGUGCGCCGAAUACUGAGUGACUCGAGUGCGGGAGAGGAAAGUGGAAUUCCUGGUGUAGCGGUGAAAUGCGUAGAUAUCAGGAGGAAUACCGGUGGUGUAGACGGCUUUCUGGACCGUAACUGACGCUGAAACACGAAAGCGUGGGUAGCAAACAGG